rnacentral:antisense_RNA from 1 species
AGAUCAGCCCUGGGGUUCAGAGGGAUCCUGACGGCUACUCCUCAAGAUCCUCUCUGUUGUGAUUCAUCCCCCCCGGGCCCUACAGUUUCUCCUUCCUGACUCUUACAUUUCUUUGGAUGGCAUCAUUAUUCAAUUUUCCUGCCUCACCCUCCCAAGUAGCUGGGAUUACAGUACCUGUCUCCUCCCAUAGUUAGGUGCCAAGCACUGUGGAUUCUGCCCCUCAGUGUCCAGACACCCAUUUUCCUUCCCACUGUUCCUUCCCCAUGGAGAAGCCUGUGGCUGGCUGACAGCAGAGAGAGAUGCUCAACUUGGAGAAGGUGUUACCUGGGCCAGGUGGGGAAGGUUUGUUUGCAGAGCAAAGAAGUGAAGCCUAUUCAACGUGAAAAAGAUGAGGAUGAAGACCUUUAUUAUGAUCCACUUCCAAGUAAUGAACACACUGGAGAAAGUCAGACAGUCAAAACAAUGUCCCAGACUCCGUGAAGUUCCUGGGUAGAGAAGGAGACAGACAUAUACCAUACCUAAUAAUUGGAUGUCCGAGAGAAUGAGAGAAUGGCAGAAAGAACUUUAGAGCAUGGGUAUGAUGGCUAGAGCUUGAGCAGCCAUUGUGGACAUCAGAUGAACUUGAAAGUGAAAACUAUGAGCUGAAUACGACAAAGCAAACAGAUAGAAAACUGGAUUCAUUAUGACAUUGCAAAGCUGCCAGACCAGCUCUAGUCUG